ensembl:lncRNA
GCUAAUUAUUGACAAGCCACAAGAGUGGAAAGACGACGGAGCGCUCUUGUAGCUGAUCAUCCCUAGAGGGUUUGACCGCCCUGGUUUAUGCCCCGCCCACCUCUCCUGCCCCUCCCCCACAACCCAACCGCCCUCCUAGAUUCUCCUACUGGUUUAUCUGGACCACGCCCUCUUUCUCCACCCCAAACUUCACCCAAACCAAGGAGCUCGGGGGCGUUCCGGACAAAGACCGAUUAAACAGAAAAGACUACGUGUUUUUAUUCAGUUAAUUUUUUCUUAAAUGGAUGAUUGAAGAAAACGAGAGGACGCAAACUAUUCGUGAGCGUCCGUAUUUAGCGGAGAAGAAACGGUACUGCGGACUGAAAGAGGACGCUUUUGGUCAGAGGAAGGAUCGCAGAAGGGUGGGCGUUUGUUGAUAAAGAAAUACUUCCUGUUUACAUUAAGCAUCGUCUUUCUAAGAGUACACGGCUCUACAUUUCACAGGAAACUGUAAGGGUUACACACACACACACACACACACACACACACAGUAUCACAUAAACCACUCCCACACGUCCCGGCCUCAGGAUGAUGUGCGAGGUGAUGCCCACUAUUUCGGAGGAUGGCCGUGGUGGAGGAGGAGGGGGCCGUCCUCGCCUGCUGGGGGUGGGAGUGGCAUGGGAGGGGGCAUGGGGGGCAUCGGGGGCAGCUACGAGGGCGGCAGCACGGGCAACCUGGAGUCUCUGAUGGUGAACAUGCUGACGGAGAGAGAGCGCCUGCUGGAGAGCCUGAGAGAGACGCAGGAGAGUCUGGGGACGGCACAGCUCCGCCUCCGGGAACUGGGACACGAGAAAGACUCGCUCCAGAGACAGCUGUCCAUCGCCCUGCCUCAG